AAAUUGAAGAGUUUGAUCAUGGCUCAGAUUGAACGCUGGCGGCAGGCCUAACACAUGCAAGUCGAGCGGUAGCACAGAGAGCGUGCUCUCGGGUGACGAGCGGCGGACGGGUGAGUAAUGUCUGGGAAACUGCCUGAUGGAGGGGGAUAACUACUGGAAACGGUAGCUAAUACCGCAUAACGUCGCAAGACCAAAGUGGGGGACCUUCGGGCCUCAUGCCAUCAGAUGUGCCCAGAUGGGAUUAGCUAGUAGGUGAGGUAACGGCUCACCUAGGCGACGAUCCCUAGCUGGUCUG
rnacentral:rRNA from 1 species